rnacentral:rRNA from 1 species
ACGCUGGCGGCAGGCUUAACACAUGCAAGUCGAACGGUAACAGGAAUUAGCUUGCUAAUUUGCUGACGAGUGGCGGACGGGUGAGUAAUGCUUGGGAAUCUGGCUUAUGGAGGGGGAUAACUACGGGAAACUGUAGCUAAUACCGCGUAAAAUCCUCGGAUUAAAGGGUGGGACUUUCGAGCCACCUGCCAUAAGAUGAGCCCAAGUGGGAUUAGGUAGUUGGUUAGGUAAAGGCUGACCAAGCCGACGAUCUCUAGCUGGUCUGAGAGGAUGACCAGCCACACUGGAACUGAGACACGGUCCAGACUCCUACGGGAGGCAGCAGUGGGGAAUAUUGCACAAUGGGGGGAACCCUGAUGCAGCCAUGCCGCGUGAAUGAAGAAGGCCUUCGGGUUGUAAAGUUCUUUCGGUGACGAGGAAGGUUGAUAGGUUAAUAGCCUAUCAAAUUGACGUUAAUCACAGAAGAAGCACCGGCUAACUCCGUGCCAGCAGCCGCGGUAAUACGGGGGGUGCGAGCGUUAAUCGGAAUAACUGGGCGUAAAGGGCACGCAGGCGGUGACUUAAGUGAGAUGUGAAAGCCCCGAGCUUAACUUGGGAAUUGCAUUUCAUACUGGGUCGCUAGAGUACUUUAGGGAGGGGUAGAAUUCCACGUGUAGCGGUGAAAUGCGUAGAGAUGUGGAGGAAUACCGAAGGCGAAGGCAGCCCCUUGGGAAUGUACUGACGCUCAUGUGCGAAAGCGUGGGGAGCAAACAGGAUUAGAUACCCUGGUAGUCCACGCUGUAAACGAUGUCGAUUUGGGGAUUGGGCUUUGAGCUUGGUGCCCGUAGCUAACGUGAUAAAUCGACCGCCUGGGGAGUACGGCCGCAAGGUUAAAACUCAAAUGAAUUGACGGGGGCCCGCACAAGCGGUGGAGCAUGU